UGUCCCUACGGGGCGCAGCAGUGGGGAAUAUUGCACAAUGGGGGAAACCCUGAUGCAGCGACGCCGCGUGAGCGAAGAAGUAUUUCGGUAUGUAAAGCUCUAUCAGCAGGGAAGAAAAUGACGGUACCUGACUAAGAAGCUCCGGCUAAAUACGUGCCAGCAGCCGCGGUAAUACGUAUGGAGCAAGCGUUAUCCGGAUUUACUGGGUGUAAAGGGGGCGCAGACGGCGAUGCAAGCCAGGAGUGAAAGCCCGGGGCCCAACCCCGGGACUGCUCUUGGAACUGCGUGGCUGGAGUGCAGGAGGG
rnacentral:rRNA from 1 species